rnacentral:rRNA from 1 species
GGAGGAAAAGAAACCAACAGGGAUUGCCUCAGUAACGGCGAGUGAAGCGGCAAAAGCUCAAAUUUGAAAUCUGACCUUUCAGGUCCGAGUUGUAAUUUGUAGAGGAUGUUUCGGGUAAGAUCCAGGCCUAAGUUCCUUGGAACAGGACGUCAUAGAGGGUGAGAAUCCCGUACGUGGCUCAUGAUCGCACCCAUGUGAAACUCCUUCGACGAGUCGAGUUGUUUGGGAAUGCAGCUCAAAAUGGGAGGUAAAUUCCUUCUAAAGCUAAAUAUUGGCCAGAGACCGAUAGCGCACAAGUAGAGUGAUCGAAAGAUGAAAAGCACUUUGAAAAGAGAGUUAAAAAGCAUGUGAAAUUGUUGAAAGGGAAGCGCUUGUAGCCAGACUUGUUUAUAGGGUUCAGCCGUCGUUUUUCGUCGGUGUAUUUCCCUAUUAUCAGGCCAGCAUCAGUUUAAGUGGAAGGUUAAAGGCCUUGGGAAUGUAUCUUCCUCCGGGAUGACUUACAGCCCUUGGUGUAAUGCUUCCUACCUAGACUGAGGCACGCGUUCGCUAGGAUGCUGGCGUAAUGGCUAUAAGCGACCCGU